rnacentral:rRNA from 1 species
AGCGAACGCUGGCGGCAGGCUUAACACAUGCAAGUCGAACGGGCGUAGCAAUACGUCAGUGGCAGACGGGUGAGUAACGCGUGGGAACGUACCUUUUGGUUCGGAACAACCCAGGGAAACUUGGGCUAAUACCGGAUAAGCCCUUACGGGGAAAGAUUUAUCGCCGAAAGAUCGGCCCGCGUCUGAUUAGCUAGUUGGUGUGGUAACGGCGCACCAAGGCGACGAUCAGUAGCUGGUCUGAGAGGAUGAUCAGCCACAUUGGGACUGAGACACGGCCCAAACUCCUACGGGAGGCAGCAGUGGGGAAUAUUGGACAAUGGGCGGCAAGCCUGAUCCAGCCAUGCCGCGUGAGUGAUGAAGGCCCUAGGGUUGUAAAGCUCUUUUGUGCGGGAAGAUAAUGACGGUACCGCAAGAAUAAGCCCCGGCUAACUUCGUGCCAGCCGCCG